GACGAACGCUGGCGGCGUGCUUAACACAUGCAAGUCGAACGGUGAAGCCCUUCGGGGUGGCUCAGUGGCGAACGGGUGAGUAACACGUGAGCAACCUGCCCCUGGCUCUGGGACAACCACUGGAAACGGUGGCUAAUACCGGAUACGACCCGCCUCGGCAUCGAGUGUGGGUGGAAAGUUUUUCGGCUGGGGAUGGGCUCGCGGCCUAUCAGCUUGUUGGUGAGGUGAAGGCUCACCAAGGCGACGACGGGUAGCCGGCCUGAGAGGGCGACCGGCCACACUGGGACUGAGACACGGCCCAGACUCCUACGGGAGGCAGCAGUGGGGAAUAUUGCACAAUGGGCGAAAGCCUGAUGCAGCGACACCGCGUGAGGGAUGACGGCCUUCGGGUUGUAAACCUCUUUCAGCUCCGAAGAAGCGAAAGUGACGGUAGGAGCAGAAGAAGCACCGGCUAACUACGUG
rnacentral:rRNA from 1 species